AACGACCGGCCGGACACCUGUGUGACCGGCCCACAAGUGGAGGCUCCGAUCUCCCACCUGACCGUCCUCCGGGACGGCGGGUCACCGGUCAGGUGGCAGCCAUCGUUCCGUACGGACGAUGGGGCCGCCCGAUUGCGCCCCGCGGUUGCACGCGGCGGUGUUCCGGUAGUUCCAGGAGCCCCGCCUGUGUCCCGUCCGGGGCAUUUUUG
rnacentral:ncRNA from 1 species